rnacentral:rRNA from 1 species
AUGGCCGGCGGCGGGACCAGCAUCAGGAAGUAUGUGGGCGCCCUCAAGGACUCCACCACCGUCAGCAUCGCCAAAGUCAACAGCGACUACAAGCAACUGGACAUCGCGAUCGUCAAGGCCACCAACCAUGUGGAGAGGCCUGCAAAGGAGAAGUACAUCAGAGACAUUUUCAUGCAUCUUAAUUCCGGGCGGGCUCGGGCGGACGUGGCCUACUGCAUCCGCGCCCUCGCGAGGCGCCUCUCCAAGACGCGCAACUGGGCGGUUGCACUGAAGACGCUAAUUGUCAUACACCGUGCCCUUCGCGAGGUCGACCCUUCUUUCCGUGAUGAGCUCGUCAGUUACGGAAGAUCUAGCGGCCAGAUGCUACACAUGUCCUAUUUCAAAGAUGACUCCAGCCCUGAUGCUUGGGAUCACUCUGCUUGGAUACGCAAUUAUGCUUUAUUUUUGGAAGAGAGGCUCGAAUCUUUCCGUGUGCUGAAUUAUGAUGUCGAACUGGAUCCAUUGGGAACACGAGAUGUUGAUACAACUGGUUUGCUUGCACAACUGCCAGCAUUGUCGCAGCUUCUUUUUCGGCUAAUUAGUUGUCAGCCGCAUGGGUCAUCAUCUUAUAACACCAUAAUCCAGCAUGCCCUUUCAAUGGUUGCUACGGAGAGUGUUAGGAUCCAGACAGCCAUCAAUGAUGGCAUACUCAAUCUAGUUGACAAGUUCUUCGAUAUGCAUAGGGACGACGCUAUUAGGGCCCUCGAUAUAUACAAAAAAGCACUUAAGCAGGCAGGGCAACUUUCUGGAUUUUAUGAGACAUGUAAAACCAUACAUAUUGGGCGGGAUGAGAAGCUGUUAACAAUCGAGCAGCCUCCUGCGUCAUUCUUGCAAGCUAUGGAAGAUUAUGUGAGAGAUGCUCCCCUUGCUUCAAAAAACCAGGACGUCUUCAUUUGUUUGCAGGCUGUACUGGCAAUAGAGUACAACAGAAAACCAGAAGAGGAAGAAGCAUCAACUCCACCACCACCUCCUCCUCAAGUAUCAACUUCAGAGAAAGAACCAGAACCAGAGCCGGUUAAAAAAGUCGUGCCUAGAGUCGAGCAAAUAGAUUUGCUGGGGAUGGAUGAGCCGAUCCCUGACACGUCCGAGCUAGAUCAAAACAAUGCUUUGGCCUUGGCAAUUGUUGAACCAGAUAAUGCGCCUAAAGCUGCUGUUAGUUCCGAAAACGUCGCCACUAGCUGGGAGCUGGCUCUGGUCACAGCACCCAGUGCAAGUGAAAAUGUUGCUACUUCAAGAAACUUGGCCGGUGGACUGGACCUGCUCACCCUCGACAGCCUCUACGACGACGCGCACCGGCACACGCAGCAGAACGCAAGCUACAACCCCUGGGAGCAGCCGGCCCCGGCUUCAUCGGCUCCAAUGAUGCAGCAGCAGUAUCAACCGCAGCCGAUGCACAACCCGUUGUACGCCUCGGCGCAGCAGCAGCAGGCCUUCAUGCUCCAGCAGCAGCAGGCCUUCGUGCUCCAGCAGCAGCACCAGUACCAGCAGCAGUACCAGCAGAUGAUGAUGAUGGGCGCGCCGUCCCUCCAUCGCCAGGCGUCCUCCAACCCGUCGCUCCAUCGUCAGGCGUCCUCCAACCCGUCGCUCCAUCGCCAGGCGUCCUCCAACCCGUCCUUCCAUCGCCAGGCGUCCUCCAACCCGUUCGACAGAUCAUACGUGCCGGCAGGUGGUUACCCUAAUGCUCCGGCGAUGCAGCUCCACACCGGCAACGCCUACAAUGGGACCGGCAUGAUGUAG